CGCUCUCUGGUCUUCUUUUCGGUUAUGUUCUUUUUCUUUUCCCUCAUUCAUUCUUGCUUUGUUUGAAGUUUUUUGCAUCAAUUAAGUGAUGCAUAUUGAUAAUUUACUUUAAUGUUAUAGUCUUAUGAAGGAUUUUGAGGUUUUCACUUUGAAAUUGGGAUUUUAAGAAUUUGAUUGAACUCUCAUGAUUAGACAAUUGAAAGAUUUGAAGCUCAUACAUGAUUAAAGAUUGAAUUAGAUACUUCGGUGCUGUCAGAGAUUAGGUUCGGAUGUAAUUGUAUAACAUCUUGUUGAUUGUUCUGGUGAGUUAUGUUCUUCUCUAUAACUGCUGCUCAAUUUUUGUUUUCAAUCUCUGAGGUUGUUUCCAUACAUUCUCCAUCUGUUCCUUCAUGCCAUGUUUUCAUUAUUUUUCUCUCCUUUUUCAUGGCUUGAUCAGUUUCUCUUUUUUUCUUUUACCCUUUAAUCGUCGCUUUAAUUCUCUUUCUCUUCGUUCCAGUUUCUAUUGCAUGUUCUUGCAUCGACUUUCUACUUCUACUAUUUUUCUUUGAUAAGUUCAGCAUACCUAUUACUGCAUUUUUAAUGCUCGUAGGGAAUUGGAAAAGGAAAACAUCUGCUUUCGACCUUGGUGUUUGCCUUUUCCAAUGUUUAUCGGAGUUGGAAAGCUGGACUAUAUGCUAAAGUAGUUGAUCCUCAUUUUGAAAUAUCUUUUUGUUGCGGACUACAAACGUAAAUGGAUUUUAAUAUAGUAUCCUUGUUAAUGAUUUUUGCUUAUGCUAGAUGUUUGUUGCAAUAGUUGGGGUUUCAUAAAGAAUUGUUUCCAUGUGCAGAUUACGUGAUUUAGUUUAGUCCUAUGUAAACAUGUUUACUCAGAAGAACUAAAAAAAAAAAAUACUAAUAGCAAGGUGUUUUAAACUUAAAUAGCACGUACUGAUCAAAUACAAAGAUAAUUUACGAUCAAAGCGCUUAGCUCAGUGAGGGCUUCACGUAAAAUCUGGUGUGCUUAUUUGCUUGCUAAUAUUUAGUGUACUAUUACUUAUUCGCUUCUUCUUUCAUAAUCUUCUGUUAUUAAAACAAUAGAUGUUGGACUUAAGCAAAUAAAUCUGUUAAUAGCUUCUAUUACUAGGGUUAAAUCCGUCCCUAAGGCUUGUGGUAGGUUUAGUCAAGAAUUUUUAAGAGAAAACACAUUAACUUCUUUGAUUGCUGGUCAUGUUCAUAUUUCUCACUCUUGUUUUCCUAGGCAUCCAAUUUUGCUGCGUUUGUUUUUGAGUUGGUAAGAUUGAAAAAAACUUCUAGCCAUCCAAAUAAUGCUUAAGCUCAUGGGUCAGUGAAGCACAUAAUCAUCAAUUAUAUUUUCCAUGACUAUUUACUUUGAUUAACAGGCACAAUUGUAUUUCUACAUUGGGAUCUUGUUGUUAUUUAUAAUUUGUGUAUCCAAAUUACCUAUUAAAAAACGUUAACGAAUAUACAUUUCUAAUCAGAAUAUUGAAGGUAAAACGCUCUUGAUCAUUCUUCACUAAAUUUUGAGGAAAUUGACUAUAUCUCUGCUUUGGGCAUUAUUUUUCGGGAUAUUCCGGUAAGAACAAGGACCAGUUAGAAGCAGGACACAAAUGCCCCUGCUACUUAUUCCACAUAGCAAGAAAAAGGAUGAGAAAUAUGAUUGUAUAGCUAUAUUUAUGAAAUAUAUUUGAUUGUUUUUUCAAUUUAUGUGAUCGCUAAAGAAGUCUUUUCAUAUAUCAACUAACGGUGGUUUCCUUGUUAAGGAUUCUUGUGAUAAGAUAAUAGUUAGCAGGAGCAACAAUUGAGUAUUGGGAUUGCCUUUUUUGUUUGUGGGGUUGGUGUUACAGGUUUGUAAAAAUCUUUUGGUGGCUGAAUGUGUGUGCUGUAAAGGUUGGACCAUGGUGUUGCUUCUUUUAAUACUUUACUUCUCAAUAACAUAUGAAAUGUAGUUUAUUACAAAAUAUCUACCCAUGAGUUCUUUGCAUGAUUAUUUCGGCAGGAAAACGAGGGUGCACCAAUGUUGGGGGUUUCGUCAGAUUGUAGCCUAUCCCACCAUGAAGUUCAUGAGCUGCUUGAUGAAGAAUUAUUUGGGAUCCUAUGGUACUUCCAAGUUCCAAUGGAGUAAGAGGUACAAUUAAAGCUAUAAAAAAGAUUAUUAAAAUACAAUAUUGGAGGUUGGGUGUACCUCUUCAACAUGUUAUACUAUCACUAUCUCUGAUUAACGCAACCUGUAGGUGUAAUUGGCUUCUCAUGAAUAACUACUUAAGUAAUAACAUAGUAGAGAAGUCUUCUUGAGUUCUCUUUACACAAAAAGAUCUAUUUCAUAGGCUUGGGACUUCUUUAUGCACUAGAAUAUUCUACUGAAACCAAGGCACCUAACUUUGAUUUUCGAGAUGACAAAUCAUGAUGCUCUUUAUUCUGCUCUUGAUGAAGUUGUAUGUGGAAUCCUAAGGUAUUUUUAAUGGAGUAAGACAUAUAGUUAGCUCUAAAAAUUUCUUGAAAUGUAUUGUUUAACAUCUCCAAUUUUUUCUUCUUAAACAUAUUGAUCAGCAACCAAUUUUUUUAAAAAGAAAAAUUCUGUUGACUUAGGUUGGCAGUACCAUAGAGCCUUAAAGGUUGGAGAUCUUACGCGGUUACACUUCAACUCUUGGAUGACUCCUAUUUCUACUCCUCUUAAUUAUUAGUAUGUUAUGAUUAAACAUCAUUUAUUUCCUAAUUCUUUUCCCUCUAGAUUUUAGAGGAUGCUUUUCGAUACAUAUGAUCCAGAAAGUUCUAUUUCUUCUGAAUCUUGGCUAUGGUAACCAAUCUCCGCAGGUUUGAUUUUUCGCUUUGAUUUUUACCAAUUUGUGGCCAAUAUGUUGAUGUUUGUUUUUACUUUUGACACAAAUAUGUCGAAGUUAUCCUCCAAAUGAUUCCCACAUAUAGUGAUCAUUUCAAUCAACACAAUGUUUCCAUUAGCAUAAUGUAGUCUUUUGGUAGUUUGUGUGUUGGGAUAGUGUUAACAAAAUUGCAAAUAGGAUAGGGUUCCUAAGAUUUCUAGCGCUUAUUUAUAUUGAUGGACUUUUUAUAAGUAAUGCUUCUGUUGAUGGACAAAACAGCACAAAGAUGGCGCUCACUGACAGGAACCAUAGUUUAGCCUAAUCUAUCAACUAUCUAAUCUUGCAGAGAAGCUAGAAAUUGCGACCAAAGUUGCAACACAUUCUUAAAGUUGCAACCCAAAGCUGAUUGACUUAAUUAAAUCUGUUUCAGGGAAGCAGCGACAAGCAUUCUCUACGUCAGAGUAUUAUCGGAUUCAACUUACACCAGCCUUCAAAAGUAUUUAGUUUUUGGUAACGACAUACAGGUUGACGAUCCAGCUACUUAGGAGUGUUCGUAUCAGCUAUUGUGGUGAGCCCCAGUUUCCUUCGGGGCAAUAUCAGUCAUGCAGUUCUCACAGCUUUCUAGACAAUUACCUUUUUGUAUUCAUUAGAGGCUUCAUAGACACAGUUCAGACAGUCAGAUAUUUGUUAUGUUAGCCUUAUAGACAGUUAUACUCAGUUGUUCAGUUGUUUUGGUUUAGCCAUGUUGGCUACUUUCAGAUGUUCAGAUUGUCUAAGUAUUUCCGCAUUAUGAUAUUUCAGUCAGACAUUUAGUUAAUCAGCAUGUGUUAGUUUUAUUUUAUAAAUUAGUUAUGUUUUGGUAUCACAUGUUGAUUCAGCCAGCCAGUUGGUUCACUCGGUCACAUGCAGUCAGGCACCGGGUGCCGUGUUACGUCCAGGCCCAGGUUCGGGGGCGUGACACGACUAUUAAUAAGUAAAACUUUCCAUGGACGACGAAGGGUACACUUGGUAUUUCAAAUUAUUUGUACAGCCUACGUGUUACUCGUGUACGUCCCCACGUGUGUCCACGCUGAUAUCGAAGUUUUCACUUUCAUUCCUCUAGUUUCUUUCUUUUGGCAUUUGCCACUGCUUUUUCCUUCCCGCUUUUUUCAUAUUUCUUCAGUUCCAGUUCAUCUAUGUUCAGCUAUUAUUUUCCCCAAUUUCGCUGUGCUUUAAAAUCUGUUGCUCUCUUCUAAUCUUUCACUUUAUCUUGACCUAAUCGCGUUGUGGUUCAAUUUGAUUUCAUGCGGUAGCUUCGACUAUUUUAUAUUUGUGCAUUGAAGUAGCCAACCAAAUGGACCUGAUCAAUGUACUGGAGAUAUAACGGUUUUCAUAAUUACUUAGGCAACAGUCGCAGAAGACUCCAAUUGGUACAUCUUAUGGCAACAUAAAUAGAUUUGAUACAAGAUAUUGGAAUAAUGGUCUCAUAUGCCACAUAGAAGAUCAAAUUUACCUCUCCGUGUGUUUGAUUGAAGAAAAUGUUUGCACUCAAUGUGAUGUUCGAGAACAUUGGCAAGGAACUACAUUUCUUGCUUGAAGAUAUGGGAUUAUCUUUUGGUUUUAGCAAUCCUAAUGAUAUCAAAGCAGUGAUCAAUAUUCCUUAAUCAAGGUUCCUUCAACGUGGAGUUUGUAGAACUUCUUGACAGAUGCUUCACAAUCUUAGCAUGAUAAAUUUAAAAACAUCCAUCUUCAUCAGAGUAUAUCUAAAGGUUUUGUGGUCGCUCGCUUCCACACUGUAUAGAGCUACCAAGAGUUCUUUAUAUGUGUACCACAGCCGACAGGCUUUAAGGAAGAAUGCAGGGAAAUAGACAAGAAAAUUCUAUAAAGGUAAUACCUAGAUGAAUCACGUGCUGCCAACUAUAGCUGCUACAGUCCAGCUAGAUUUACAAUGUAGUACUAUAACUUUGUUCCACUAAUGAAUGUACAUAAUAUGAGGCAUAUUUCGUUAAUUUUAUUUGGUGGUGCUGCUUCCUUUCUUUUAACUCCUACUAAACAAUUAAACAAAUAGGGAUCUCUUUUGCAUAAUAUGUUACCAAAAUGCCCGUGCCUUGUACGGGCCAUUAGUAUGGUUAGAAG